GAUCCUGGCUCAGGACGAACGCUGGCGGCGUGCUUAACACAUGCAAGUCGAACGAGAAUCUGCGGAAAGAGGAUUCGUCCAAUUGAAGCAGAGGACAGUGGCGGACGGGUGAGUAACGCGUGAGGAACCUGCCUUUCAGAGGGGGACAACAGUUGGAAACGACUGCUAAUACCGCAUGACACAUCGGGGUCGCAUGGCUCUGAUGUCAAAGAUUUAUCGCUGAAAGAUGG
rnacentral:rRNA from 1 species